GACAGAGGGUGCAAACGUUGUUCGGAAUUACUGGGCGUAAAGCGCGUGUAGGCUGCUCGGAAAGUCGGAUGUGAAAGCCCUGGGCUCAACCUAGGAAGUGCAUUCGAAACUUCCGAGCUGGAGUGCUGGAGAGGAAGGCGGAAUUCUCGGUGUAGAGGUGAAAUUCGUAGAUAUCGAGAGGAACACCGGUGGCGAAGGCGGGCCUCUG
rnacentral:rRNA from 1 species